GGACCCUCGUGGACCUCUGCUUGGGGCCGAACCCUGGCCAAGCCCUGCCGGUGUGUUAAGUGGUCCUCACCUCCGCUCUCAUCUCCAUUUCUUCCAGAGCAGAGGUCAGGCCCAGGCCCCUCAGCAGACACAGUCCUGGAUUCCAGCAGUCUUGGACAUGACCUUCGGCCUGUUUCCUCACCUGACACAGGCCGUGAGGGCAUUUCUAUCCGACACAGAGUGUGAACCACACCUGCUGCUGGGCGCCCGCACGUGAUGGGAGUCCCGAAUGGUGGGCCCUGAGGCGGCCAGCAGACCUCACGGCUGGACACAGAGCUGGGGAGCCAGCUCAGGCCCCAGGACAGCGGCUUCCUACAUUUCCAUGGUGACACACUGAGGCACGCCAAGCCUCCUACAAUAACAGACCAACAUGUACAUCCUCCUCUUUUCCCCCGUCACCUUGGAAACGGUUGGCCUCGGCCCCCUCCCGACCUCUCCAGAAGAGACAGAGGACCCAGAACACCAGGGGCACAGAACGUGGAAUAGGGAGAGCUCUUACCCAGAACACGGAUGUCGAGGUGGGUCGCCAGGCUGUCAGCGGCAGUGAUUGCUUGAGGAGUGAAUCCGUUAAAGGACGUAUUUCUGAAGCCACCAAAUGCACAUUUAACUGAGGCCAUCAUGACAGAGCCUGAGACAGAUAGGCUCGCGCUGCCCUUUGCAGUCCUGUCCUCGCCGCUGCCCCCAGGUGCCUGGCCGGAGCCCUGAGAACAAAUCCGGGACCUCGGGGAGAUGGCGAUAGUUGGGUAUGUCAGUUAUGUGCUGCAUGACCUGAUAUCUUGAGGCCUCUUCUGGAGGUCAGCCUGGACUGUCCUGAGUUGUUACGCGUGAAGAGAAGGGCGCAGUGCAAGGAGCAGGCUCCGCCCCCUCCGUGCUCAGGAACCUGAUGCCGUGGACUCCCCAUCACCACCCGCCUAGUGAGUGGCGUGUUGCUGCUGAUUCAGACGUGGAGCGUGGUGCUGUCCGCAUGCGGUUGCCGAGAGCAGCUGAGAAUUGCUGUGUGGCUUUUCAAUAUUUUAUUUUGGGCUAACGUGUUAGCAUCUCAUUCCUGCCAGGACAGUGGAGGUGACCAGUCCCAACAGGAUGGGAAUAAGGACGGUCCUUUUGAUGGAGAUGCCCCCGGGAGGCCACUGUCCAGACCAGGCUGCUAACGUGGCGUACCACGCAGGAGUCAGCAGUGUACGCUCCUGGGAGUCUCGUUUUUGUGGCCCGUUGUAGAGCCAGCACACUGCCACCAGUCUUCCAGGACAGCCGUCCUCGCCCAGGGAUACGCGCUCCUCGAGUGAUGUGCCCUGGCCUUCACGGGCUGCAUUCCACGCAGUGGGGGUGCUGCCAUCGGUGAAGAGCCCUGGCUCCCUUUCCGUGUCAUACGGUGGAUUCCAAGGGCCCCCCAGACUGCUGGAGGGGCUGGUGUGGGGGUGCCACCAGCUGCACCCUUCACAUCAGUGCUCUGGGAGCUGAGCGUGGGGGAAGGCAUAUCUUCUUGUAAUCUGAAAAAAAAAAAUUCAGUUUCAACAGUGAGGCCUCAGUGGCUAUGCCGAGCCAAGGCAGGAUGGGAACCUGUGUGCCAGGAAGUAUGGGCUGUGAACCUAUUAAUACCUCUGUCUCUAAAAGAGCCCCGUAUGCCUCCAAAAUUUGGCACCUGAGUGGCAUGUACCAGGCUGUUGUCUGGGCAGGUUUGGUCCAGAACCCCACGGGCAGCCAGCUGGAGCCGCGCUUAGUCCAGAGACUCCGUGAGGCGUAGUCGGCUGUGGCCAGUGAUUGAACGUGGAAGUCUGAGCCCAGAGGGACGAAGGGCAGCGGCAGCUGGAAGGCAGUUUGCUGAGGUUCCCCCAAGGAAGGAAGCCAACGGGCAAGUAAUGGCGCACGUAGGGCGAAGUCUCCAGAAGGUGGAGAGACCUCCCUUGGGCUCCCCUGCUGUAGUGUAGUGGGAGGCCGGCUGUGAAGACUGGAGGUUUACAGCGACAGGAGUCUCGUGGCCCUCAGCCGGCCACAGUGUGCCAAGAAACCGGACAGAGCGGCAGGUCCUUGGAUCUUACCUGUAGCAGUGGCUCAUCCUGUCUGCUGCAGAUGUUGUUCUGUUGGGGGUAAGUCUUCCCCGACAGCGUCUCAGGACCCCGUAGCAGAAUGUCCUCUGUACGAUGCUAACAGCUGCGGUGGGUCAGUUUGGGGGCAUUUAGGUCUCGUCUGUGUCGGUUAUAUGAGACCCAGGGCCGCGUGGGUAACCUGUCGCAGAGGAGUAAAGGUGCCCCGGGUGUCUGGAAGGGAGAGCAAAUCCACGUUGUGAGUCUUUACUGAUGGGGAUAGAGUAAAACACAUUGGUUUGAUGUCCAACUGUAACGUAAGGGCCUUGAGCAAACGUUUUUGAUGCCAUCUGUCAUCUCUGUCUGACUGGAAACGGGAGCCUGCAUGGCAGGAACCCGUGCGUCCACGUCUCCAGAGUCCGCUGGUGGUCUCCGUUCCUUGGGGGCCAGUUUAACACUGGUGACGGGGUGAGCUGGUGGGCUACUGACCCAGGGUGAAGCCUCUCUGUGGUGAUGGGCCAGAGGCCCCGCGUACCCCGCUUCAGCCCGUGUUGCCAGCAUUUCCUACACGCGCUGGACAAGCGGCUGCCCAGCUUCCCCUUCGUGGGCCAUUGUCGUGAAGAUCCCCAGGAAUGGAGGUUUAUUCCAGUAGGUGUGUGUUGAAUCACAGCCGCCUUGGAGCUUCCCUGUGAGAUCUGAAACCGGCCUUGUGUUCAGAGGGCAGAGAGUCAGAGACGGUAGGAGGAGGCAGGCCGCUCCAGGUUGGUAGGUGGCGUUUAAAUAAGCGAAGGGAACUUACUUGAGCAGCAGCAAGAUGAAGGGAUCCCCCAACUGUCCGCCAAAUUGUAAGAGUUUAUAAAGAGGCUCCCACUGGGUUCAGUCACGUGUGUGGUGCGGGUGUUCUCCACACCAGGUCGCCGUCGCAAGGCUACACGUUUGGAGCAGCCUCUGGGAGCGCGAAAGCCACGCGGAAGCCAUGCUCCAGGAGCGGGAGGGGACGAGGAGCCGCCGAGUGCCCGGGUCCAGCUCAGCUCAACCGGCAGGCACAUCCUCUCGAUGACAUUCCCCAGCAAUGUGUCGUACCUGUAACAGGAAGAGGGAGCUCGGGGGGCCACCAGCACUAAUAGCUGUUUGGGAUACGGGGCCGCAGACACAUCCAGCUUGACUUGUACUCCCUCUGGUAGGCUGUCGGAAGCUCCCCUGGGGAACUUAGAGGGUUACCUGGAAUUACCAUGACUCAGGCUCCUGUGCCUGACAGAGCUGGGAGUAUGCUUAUUACCUUUGUCCCAGUGGACCCCCAGAGUCACAAAUGGGUGGUUGUUCCCAGGAAGUAGGACAAGCUUCUCCUAGCUGCUGAGUCCUUAGGGUAAGGCUCUGGGGGCUCCCAAGCUCCCAGGUCGGAGAAGAUUUCGGGAGGAAGAGUAGACUUCAGGACCCUCUGAAGGCCUCGCAGCCAUGGAGAUUGAGCUCUGUUGUGAGGUGAUCGCUUGUCAAGAGAGAGGAGCCUGCACCAGGGUGCACAGCUAUGAGCUCACUUGGGACCCACAAUCAGCA